GAGUGUGUGUGUGGGUGUGUAAAUUGACAGGCAGGAGUAAACAGUGAUUGAUGCAGGAGUAAAUCAGGCCAAAGGCCGGUCCAUAAACCCAGGUUACGGAGGGACACAGUUCACUCACUGCAGAGCCCACACACGAGGCUGUGCCUCUCUCUCCUGCCUAACCAUCACUGGACCCCUCAGCAGACGCCCCCGGCGGGUCGGGAACCUAUCUUUCUUCAGACAGAUCCGGAAGACAUAGCUGACUACGAAACUACAAGACACUAGAAGAACCGUCCCACUCAUCUCCACCUACUCUGCAAUCAGCAAAGCAGCAAACAGGAACUCAAACAGAACCUGGCCAGGACCCUGCAAAACACAGACCUGCUGCAGGACUACAAAAUCAUCUCUGCCUACAGAAAAAACAAGAACCUCAAAGACCAUCUGGUCUCAGAGCCAGUGCCUAAAUCACCCUUAGAGAUGCCAUGGCAACCCAUGGCACAGGCAACAGUAUGCGGCACCGUGGCGAUGCCAAGGAUCACCACGGCAACGCCCCGCCUUCAGAGACCGAUCCUAAGAUGCACGGUGCCGUGGAGGCUGAGACUGAAGAAGAUGAUUUGAUUCAGUGGAAGAGACACAUAGAGGUGAGGAA